CCAAACCCCUCAUUGAGAGAGCAGUGCGGCAGCUGAAGCAAAAAGGAAGAAAAAAACCCUAAAAACUAAAAAAUGAGCUCUCAUCUCUUUCGACAGAGAGAAGCAGCGGCGACUAUUUUCUGAGAAUCGAACCCAGUCGUUUCCACCUGACGGGAACAAAAAGAAGAUAGAAAGAGCCCUCACAUCUUCCUCUUCUUCUCCCCAUUCUCACCAGAGCUCGCCGGAAACCAACCUCCCACCACCACGACCACACACACACACACACGCAAUACUCCUUCAUGCAUAUCUCACUUUAGCCAAUAAAGAACUGGAACCAUUUCUAGAAAUCAAGUCUAGAUCUGAAAUUCAAAAAGAGCUUUUAAAAAAACAAAACAGAGACAAAAAGGAGGAUUCGAAAGCUAUCCAAACUUCCACUCUUAUACUUAAGAUUUUCUGAAAUUUGAGUGACAUUUGAGCUGUAGAAGUAUUGUUCGAUUGCUGAAUCUACUGCUAAACGUUUUUGGGUUCGUCAUGACUGAGAUGCGGUCGAUAUCGAGGUUGUUUCGUUGAGGUUUCCGUUCGGGUCUGUCCGUGUUUAGCUUCAUCGGCCUGAGUUUCUUUGUAAACGGGCAGGAGGUUCUUUGAAAAAUUGAAAGUACUUCAGAUUCAGGUAUUUUUGUACCCGGUAGCGGGUGUUGAUUGCUUAGAGGCAGAGUCAUUGGAGUUUUGCAAGGUAGUUACCCGGCGUUCUCCCUCUUGUUUUUGUUAGACUGUAUUCAGUACACUUUCAGAUUUUUUUGUUGUAUUCAGACCUUAUUAGAUGCUCAUGACUUGUGACACCCCGAUGUCGAGCUUGUAUAUUAUUUCCGCACUAUUCAUUUAGACUUACAUUUUGAGAUAUUUGAUUAAUUAAAAGCAUAAAAUGAAUUAUUAUU